rnacentral:rRNA from 1 species
AUACGGAGGAUCCGAGCGUUAUCCGGAUUUACUGGGUUUAAAGGGUGCGCAGGCGGGAGAUUAAGUCGGCGGUGAAAUUUUGCAGCUCAACUGUAAAAGUGCCUUCGAAACUGGUUUUCUUGAGUGUAGAUGAAGUAGGCGGAAUUUGUGGUGUAGCGGUGAAAUGCAUAGAUAUCACGAGGAACUCCGAUUGCGCAGGCAGCUUACUAAACUACUACUGACGCUCAGGCACGAAGGCGUGGGGAUCAAACAGGAUUAGAUACCCUGGUAGUCCACGCAGUAAACGAUGAUUACUAGCUGUUUGCGAUACAAUGUAAGCGGCUGAGCGAAAGCGUUAAGUAAUCCACCUGGGGAGUACGUUCGCAAGAAUGAAACUCAAAGGAAUUGGCGGU